CUGUCAUUUUCUCAGCAGGCAAUUUCUUAAGCCAUAAACGGUGGAAGCGACGUAGAGAGUGACAGGGUGGGCAGAGAAAGUGUUCCAGAGGAGAAACAAUGUUAAGGGAGUUCGCCUGAAAUCUUCACAAUUUCAGUGAAAAUGGUCCGAAUUUGUAGUUGUUUUCGGGCAGCGUAGCUGGUGUAGCGCACCAGAUUCUCGAGGUGUGGUGCGCAUCUCUCACCUCUCGCCACGGGCACUGAGCAUGCCCAGCUUGUCUGCGAGAGGGGUCCCCCCCAGAGGAGCUGCCAGCCAAUACUCCAUCGCUCCAGGUUUUAUGAACAACCGCGAGUGGGGAGGAGGGACAGGAGCAAGGAGCCGGGCAGAGCAACGGGUUCAACACAGGGAUUGGUCGCAAGUAGGAAGCUUUUCCACUACACCGGGUCUCGGGGAAUCUGUCUGCGGUCCCGAGGCUCCCGCGGAGCUCCUAGCAAAGGUAAUGUGCAGUUGAAUGUUCAAGAUAAAUAUCUUACUCCAGAAAAGGAUUGUCUGACACAUAGUCAUUCCACAAUAUGCAUCCAAUAUACAGAUCCUUAUGAAAGGUAAGAUUCUACCAUAGGGGAAAGGUCCAUUUGCUGCCUAAGAUUAAUAUCUUUCAGUUAUUGG
rnacentral:lncRNA from 1 species